GACGAACGCUGGCGGCGUGCUUAACACAUGCAAGUCGAACGGAAAGGCCCUGCUUUUGUGGGGUGCUCGAGUGGCGAACGGGUGAGUAACACGUGAGUACCCUGUCCCUGACUUUGGGAUAACUUCAGGCAACUGGGGCUAAUACCGGCUAGGAGCUCCUGCUGCAUGGUGGGGGUUGGUAAGUUUCGGCGGUUGGGGAUGGACUGGCGGCGUAUCAGAUUGUUGGUGGGGUAGUGGAUUAGCAAGGCCUUGACGGGUAGCCGGCCUGCGAGGAGAACCGGCCAAGUUAGGAUGGAGAUGAGGCCCAGACUCGUACGGGAGGCGGCAGUGGAGAAUGUAACACAGUAGGAGGGGGCCAAGUGCAGCAACGCCACGUGCGGGGUGACAGCAAUCGGGUUGUAAUCCACUUUCGCCUGUGACGAGGCGAGAAUGACAGUAAUGGGUAAAGAAGCACCGGCUAACUACGUG
rnacentral:rRNA from 1 species